rnacentral:rRNA from 1 species
CUCCUACGGGAGGCUGCAGUGGGGAAUCUUGCGCAAUGGGCGAAAGCCUGACGCAGCGACGCCGCGUGAGUGAUGAAGGCCUUCGGGUUGUAAAGCUCUGUGGGGAGAGACGAAUAAGUGCGGGCUAAUACUCCGCAUGAUGACGGUAUCUCCUUAGCAAGCACCGGCUAACUCUGUGCCAGCAGCCGCGGUAAGACAGAGGGUGCAAACGUUGUUCGGAAUUACUGGGCGUAAAGCGAGUGUAGGCGGUUUGGAAAGUCGGAUGUGAAAGCCCCAGGCUCAACCUGGGAAGUGCAUUCGAUACUCCCAAGCUAGAGUACUGGAGAGGUUGGUGGAAUUCUCGGUGUAGAGGUGAAAUUCGUAGAUAUCGAGAGGAACACCGGUGGCGAAGGCGGCCAACUGGACAGAUACUGACGCUGAGACUCGAAAGCGUGGGGAGCAAACAGGAUUAGAUACCCUGGUAGUCCACGCCGUAAACGAUGGGUGCUAGGUGUCGCGGGCUUUGACUCCUGCGGUGCCGUAGCUAACGCAUAAGCACCCC